GAUAUUGAUCUAGAAUAGCUGGAAGGAGAAUCUAAACCAUAAUUUAAAAAGGCAAAGAAAGCUGUAGUCAAAAGUGGUUCAAGUUAGACCCGAAACAGGGACGCCAUUUGUAGGGCCCGAAGCUGUGGCGUUUACAAGCAUUUCAAGAUGAGAGUGAGAAACAAGUGGAAGCAAAGCCCAUAAGAUCAAGACUUGUGAACCUGAGAGAGAAGUCCUGCUCCAAUGAGCGCUUGCUAGGAUGGGUCUGACGGCCCCGAAGCCGAUGUUGAGGAAGGGGGAAGGUGGAAUUACGGGAAUGAAGUCAGAAUCAGCAGGUGAAUGUUAAAAAUAUAAACAUACCUCCUCACAGCAUGUCCUGGGUAUUCUGACUCAGUUUCCAGGGUGGGGCCCAGGCAUAUAUAUUUUUAAUAAGCUCCCAAGGUGAUGCUGAUACAAACACACGCGCACGUCAAGAUCUGUGACCAGAAACUAUAUUCAGC
rnacentral:lncRNA from 1 species